UCAUUCGGUGAGGAUCUCGGAUUUUGUUUUUUACGCUUCACGGCGUUUCAGACGAGAGAAGUCAUCCAAACCUCAUGAUUUAGAGGAAGGUGAAGUCGUAACAAGGUUUCCGUAGGUGAACCUGCGGAAGGAUCAUUA
rnacentral:rRNA from 5 species